rnacentral:rRNA from 1 species
CCGGCGACCGGCGCACGGGUGAGUAACACGUAUGCAACCUGCCCUCUUCAGGGGGACAACCUUCCGAAAGGGAGGCUAAUCCCGCGUAUAUCGGUUUCGGGCAUCCGAGAUCGAGGAAAGAUUCAUCGGAAGAGGAUGGGCAUGCGGCGCAUUAGCUAGACGGCGGGGUAACGGGCCCACCGUGGCGACGAUGCGUAGGGGUUCUGAGAGGAAGGUCCCCCACACUGGUACUGAGACACGGACCAGACUCCUACGGAAGGCAGCAG